rnacentral:rRNA from 1 species
UCCUACGGGAGGCAGCAGUGGGGAAUAUUGGGCAAUGGGCGCAAGCCUGACCCAGAGACGCCGCGUGAGGGAAGACGGUCUUCGGAUUGUAAACCUCUGUCUUUGGGGAAGAAAAUGACGGUACCCAAAGAGGAAGCUCCGGCUAACUACGUGCCAGCAGCCGCGGUAAUACGGAGGGAGCGAGCGUUGUCCGGAAUUACUGGGUGUAAAGGGAGCGUAGGCGGGCGAGAAAGUUGAAUGUUAAAUCUACCGGCUUAACUGGUAGCUGCGUUCACAACUUCUUGUCUUGAGUG